UAUUUAUAUCCUCUUUUUUUGUAUCUCAAGUUUUAAAUAAUUAAGUUUCAAGUGUCUCCUUAUUCAGGAUUAUUGUCUCUAGAGAUUUCAAUAUUUUUCAUGGCUUAGACCAUCUCCGAUGUAUACCUCUAAAUCUUACUCAAAAAUAGAGUAACUCUAUUUUAAAGAAACUCUAUUUUUAAAGGAGGGUUUCUCUCCAAUGUAUAUCUUUAUAAUCUACUCUAAAAAGGAAU
rnacentral:sRNA from 1 species